UUCAAACUUAUCCAAGCAUACCAAAGUUUUGAGUAUGGAAUGUUCUUCUGUUGGUUUUUUUAGAACAUGUUACCUUAGUUGGUAUGCAUAUUAUUCACUAAAUCAGUUUUAUUCUCAAUCUUAGAUAGGCGACUCUAUCAUCGACAUCAUUUUUGUAUAUUUAUAUAGACAUAUAAUACACAUAUAAUUACGUGACCUAUUUAAUUAAAUCGGAAAUCUAGCAUUUAAAAUAUCCCAUAGUUUUGAUAAGUUUGUGUGGCAAAAUUAUUUCGAAACAAACCUGUUAGCAACCAAUAUAGAGUUUAGAAUCAUCAAUGGAUCUCAAUCAAGGUACAAAUAUGCAGUGUCCUCACUGCUCAAAAGCCUUUAAAACCAGACGGGAUCUUAGAACCCACCUCUUCACGCAUGACGAAAACGCUCAAGUUAAUUGCGACAUUUGCACAAAAACACUAAAAAAUCCUCACGUACUCAGCCGUCAUAUGCGAACCAUGCACAGCAAUAAAGCAAAACCAGUCUGUUCAAUUUGCUCGCAACAAUUCUUCACUGGAACAUCUUUACGGGACCACACGAGUAGAAUUCAUGGAACGACGGGCGAAGGAGGUGAAACAUGUAAAAUAUCUCAGGGACAAUUUGUCAAUGCAAAAUAUUUACAAAACCACACAUAAAAUUCACACCGCGAGGGAAGGCUCCCGACACCCGUGCACAUUUCCAGGAUGUCUCAAAUCCUUCACUUUACGGCGUGAAGCUGUCAAGCAUUUCAAAAAUGUUCACAUCCAGACGAUCCGGCCAAGACACCCUUGCCCGUUUUUGGCUUGUGGGAAAUCCUUUCUGAACAAGAAAACCGUCCGAAUUCACUUUAGAGCGGAACACGACGAGAAUCCGGUCCGAUGGAGGUGCACCCUUUGUGGCGUCCAAUUUAAGAAUAAAAAUCACCUCGAGAACCACAUUGCUACCCAUACGAAAGAAAAGAGCUACAAGUGUGAGACAUGUGGGAAGACCUUUAUCCGCCUUUCCCGCCUCAAAUUGCAUCAGGUAAAGAAAUUUUGAUUAUGAAAAAAAUCUCUCGAAUCCUAGAAUACAGGGUGUUUCUCCCGAGUUUGUGCUGCAAGCGAACAAAAUCUGGUCAACCUCCUAACC